rnacentral:rRNA from 1 species
AACGAACGCUGGCGGCAUGCCUAACACAUGCAAGUCGAACGGGAUCCUAGCUUGCUAGGUGAGAGUGGCGGACGGGUGAGUAACACGUGGGAAUCUGCCUUUUGGUUCGGGAUAACCGCGGGAAACUGCGGCUAAUACCGAAUGCCCUCGAGAGAGGAAAGAUUUAUCGCCAGAAGAGGAGCCCGCGUCCGAUUAGGUAGUUGGUGGGGUAAAGGCCUACCAAGCCGACGAUCGGUAGCUGGUCUGAGAGGAUGAUCAGCCACACUGGGACUGAGAUACGGCCCAGACUCCUACGGGAGGCAGCAGUGGGGAAUAUUGGACAAUGGGGGCAACCCUGAUCCAGCAAUGCCGCGUGAGUGAUGAAGGCCUUAGGGUUGUAAAGCUCUUUUGCCAGGGAAGAUGAUGACUGUACCUGGAGAAUAAGCCCCCGGCUAACGUUCGUGCCAGCAGCCGCGGUAAU